UACGAAGGGGGCUAGCGUUGCUCGGAAUCACUGGGCGUAAAGCGCACGUAGGCGGACUCUUAAGUCAGGGGUGAAAUCCUGGAGCUCAACUCCAGAACUGCCUUUGAUACUGAGAAGCUUGAGUCUGGGAGAGGUGAGUGGAACUGCGAGUGUAGAGGUGAAAUUCGUAGAUAUUCGCAAAGAACACCAGUGGCGAAGGCGGCUCACUGGCCCGGUACUGACGCUGAGGUGCGAAAGCGUGGGGAGCAACAGG
rnacentral:rRNA from 1 species